GAUGAACGCUAGCUACAGGCUUAACACAUGCAAGUCGAGGGGCAGCAUGGUCUUAGCUUGCUAAGGCCGAUGGCGACCGGCGCACGGGUGAGUAACACGUAUCCAACCUGCCGUCUACUCUUGGACAGCCUUCUGAAAGGAAGAUUAAUACAAGAUGGCAUCAUGAGUCCACAUGUUCACAUGAUUAAAGGUAUUCCGGUAGACGAUGGGGAUGCGUUCCAUUAGAUAGUAGGCGGGGUAACGGCCCACCUAGUCUUCGAUGGAUAGGGGUUCUGAGAGGAAGGUCCCUCACAUUGGAACUGAGACACGGUCCAAACUCCUACGGGAGGCAGCAGUGAGGAAUAUUGGUCAAUGGGCGAGAGCCUGAACCAGCCAAGUAGCGUGAAGGAUGACUGCCCUAUGGGUUGUAAACUUCUUUUAUAAAGGAAUAAAGUCGGGUAUGCAUACCCGUUUGCAUGUACUUUAUGAAUAAGGAUCGGCUAACUCCGUGCCAGCAGCCGCGGUAAUACGGAGGAUCCGAGCGUUAUCCGGAUUUAUUGGGUUUAAAGGGAGCGUAGAUGGAUGUUUAAGUCAGUUGUGAAAGUUUGCGGCUCAACCGUAAAAUUGCAGUUGAUACUGGAUAUCUUGAGUGCAGUUGAGGCAGGCGGAAUUCGUGGUGUAGCGGUGAAAUGCUUAGAUAUCACGAAGAACUCCGAUUGCGAAGGCAGCCUGCUAAGCUGCAACUGACAUUGAGGCUCGAAAGUGUGGGUAUCAAACAGGAUUAGAUACCCUGGUAGUCCACACGGUAAACGAUGAAUACUCGCUGUUUGCGAUAUACAGCAAGCGGCCAAGCGAAAGCGUUAAGUAUUCCACCUGGGGAGUACGCCGGCAACGGUGAAACUCAAAGGAAUUGACGGGGGCCCGCACAAGCGGAGGAACAUGUGGUUUAAUUCGAUGAUACGCGAGGAACCUUACCCGGGCUUAAAUUGCAGAUGAAUUACGGUGAAAGCCGUAAGCCGCAAGGCAUCUGUGAAGGUGCUGCAUGGUUGUCGUCAGCUCGUGCCGUGAGGUGUCGGCUUAAGUGCCAUAACGAGCGCAACCCUUGUUGUCAGUUACUAACAGGUCAUGCUGAGGACUCUGACAAGACUGCCAUCGUAAGAUGUGAGGAAGGUGGGGAUGACGUCAAAUCAGCACGGCCCUUACGUCCGGGGCUACACACGUGUUACAAUGGGGGGUACAGAGGGCCGCUACCACGCGAGUGGAUGCCAAUCCCAAAAACCUCUCUCAGUUCGGACUGGAGUCUGCAACCCGACUCCACGAAGCUGGAUUCGCUAGUAAUCGCGCAUCAGCCACGGCGCGGUGAAUACGUUCCCGGGCCUUGUACACACCGCCCGUCAAGCCAUGGGAGCCGGGGGUACCUGAAGUGCGUAACCGCGAGGAGCGCCCUAGGGUAAAACU
rnacentral:rRNA from 1 species